rnacentral:rRNA from 1 species
UUCGGAUCGUAAAGCUCUGUUGUUAGGGAAGAACAAGUACCGUUCGAAUAGGGCGGUACCUUGACGGUACCUAACCAGAAAGCCACGGCUAACUACGUGCCAGCAGCCGCGGUAAUACGUAGGUGGCAAGCGUUGUCCGGAAUUAUUGGGCGUAAAGGGCUCGCAGGCGGUUUCUUAAGUCUGAUGUGAAACCCCCCGGCUCAACCGGGAAGGGUCAUUGGAAACUGGGGAACUUGAGUGCAAAAAAGGAAAGGGGAAUUCCACGUGUAGCGGUGAAAUGCGUAAAGAUGUGGAGGAACACCAUUGGCAAAGGCGACUCUCUGGUCUGUAACUGACCCUAAGGAGCGAAAGCGUGGGGAGCGAACAGGAUUAAAUACCCUGGUAGUCCACCCCGUAAACAAUGAGUGCUAAGGGUUAGGGGGUUUCCCCCCCUUAGGGCUGCAGCUAACGCAUUAAGCACUCCCCCGGGGGAGUACGGCCGCAAGAUUGAAACUCAAAGGAAUUGACGGGGGCCCCCACAAGCGGGGGAGCAGGUGGUUUAAUUCAAAGCAACGCGAAAAACCUUACCAGGUCUUGACUUCCUCUGACAAUCCUAAAAAUAGGACUU